rnacentral:rRNA from 1 species
GACGAACGCUGGCGGCGUGCCUAAUACAUGCAAGUUGAGCGCUGAAGGUUGGUACUUGUACCAACUGGAUGAGCAGCGAACGGGUGAGUAACGCGUGGGGAAUCUGCCUUUGAGCGGGGGACAACAUUUGGAGACGAAUGCUAAUACCGCAUAAAAACUUUAAACACAAGUUUUAAGUUUGAAAGAUGCAAUUGCAUCACUCAAAGAUGAUCCCGCGUUGUAUUAGCUAGUUGGUGAGGUAAAGGCUCACCAAGGCGAUGAUACAUAGCCGACCUGAGAGGGUGAUCGGCCACAUUGGGACUGAGACACGGCCCAAACUCCUACGGGAGGCAGCAGUAGGGAAUCUUCGGCAAUGGACGAAAGUCUGACCGAGCAACGCCGCGUGAGUGAAGAAGGUUUUCGGAUCGUAAAACUCUGUUGGUAGAGAAGAACGUCGGUGAGAGUGGAAAGCUCAUCAAGUGACGGUAACUACCCAGAAAGGGACGGCUAACUACGUG